rnacentral:rRNA from 1 species
GCGAGUGAAGCGGCAAUAGCUCAAAUUUGAAAUCUGGCACCUUUGGUGUCCGAGUUGUAAUUUGAAGAAGGUAUCUUUGGGUUUGGCGCUUGUCUAUGUUUCUUGGAACAGGACGUCAUAGAGGGUGAGAAUCCCGUGUGAUGAGCUGCCCAAAUCCGUGUAAAGUUCCUUCGACGAGUCGAGUUGUUUGGGAAUGCAGCUCUAAGUGGGUGGUAAAUUCCAUCUAAAGCUAAAUAUUGGCGAGAGACCGAUAGCGAACAAGUACUGUGAAGGAAAGAUGAAAAGAACUUUGAAAAGAGAGUGAAAAAGUACGUGAAAUUGUUGAAAGGGAAGGGCUUGAGGUCAGACUUGGUUUUACCAGGCCAGCAUCAGUUUGGGUGGUAGGAGAAUGGCGAAGGAAUGUGGCUCGGCUUCGGUCAAGUGUUAUAGCCUUUGUUGAUACUGCCUACCUAGACGGAGGACUGCGUCUUUUGACAAGGAUGCUGGCAUAAUGGCCUUAAGCCACC